rnacentral:misc_RNA from 1 species
ACUGAGGGAAAACCAAAGUGGAAGGUAUGAAUUUAUCAUGAAGUGUCUGAAAUUUCUGUUAUUUUUGUGACUGUCAUUUGUAGCUUAACGAAAGCAUAAGUCAUAUACUCAUAUACCUAGUGUGUCACUGAGUAUUGCAUUGAAAAAAACUGCUAGUCCAGUUGGGAAGAACAUGUUACUUUGCUAUAUGUUGAAGAUGGGUCCAAAAAUAGCCAACAGCAGGAAGUUUUGAGCCUCUUUGAAGCAUUAUGAAUUGUUACAGCUGAGCUGUUUUUUCCCAUUGAGCACACAGGCAUAGGAAUGACUUCAUGCCUGGGGUUCAUAUGAUCUUUUGAGGAAGAUUGGGUAUUUAAAUCAGUGACUUUUUUGCCAGUGAGCUACUUCUGGGGAGCAGA